CACUCCAGUCUGGGCAACAGAGCAAGACCCUGUCUCAAAAUAAAAAUAAAAAUAAAGUUGUGUAAAAAAGAGAGAGAAAUGGGUAUUGAAAUGUUCCAGCUGUUGUAAUUAGAGCUAGGUGACUUGACCUAGGUCACACAGCCACCGAAGACCAGAGGUGGAUUCAAUCCCAGGUGCUCUGCCUCCUGAGCCCACACUGUUGACCACUUCACCACAGAGCCUCUUCUGAGCAAAGAAAAGGGAGCCUUCAAAAUGAUAGAUGGCGU
rnacentral:lncRNA from 1 species